rnacentral:rRNA from 1 species
GGCGAACGGGUGAGUAACACGUGGGCAACCUGCCCUCAGCUCUGGGAUAACUCCGGGAAACCGGGGCUAAUACCGGAUACGACCUUCCCUCGCAUGGGGGUUGGUGGAAAGUUCUUCGGCUGAGGAUGGGCCCGCGGCCUAUCAGCUUGUUGGUGGGGUGAUGGCCUACCAAGGCGACGACGGGUAGCCGGCCUGAGAGGGCGACCGGCCACACUGGGACUGAGACACGGCCCAGACUCCUACGGGAGGCAGCAGUGGGGAAUAUUGCGCAAUGGGCGAAAGCCUGACGCAGCGACGCCGCGUGAGGGAUGAAGGCCUUCGGGUUGUAAACCUCUUUCAGCAGGGACGAAGCGAGAGUGACGGUACCUGCAGAAGAAGCACCGGCCAACUACGUGCCAGCAGCCGCGGUAAUACGUAGGGUGCAAGCGUUGUCCGGAAUUAUUGGGCGUAAAGAGCUCGUAGGCGGUCUGUCGCGUCGGCUGUGAAAACUCGGGGCUCAACCCCGAGCCUGCAGUCGAUACGGGCAGACUAGAGUACUGUAGGGGAGACUGGAAUUCCUGGUGUAGCGGUGAAAUGCGCAGAUAUCAGGAGGAACACCGGUGGCGAAGGCGGGUCUCUGGGCAGUAACUGACGCUGAGGAGCGAAAGCGUGGGGAGCGAACAGGAUUAGAUACCCUGGUAGUCCACGCCGUAAACGGUGGGUGCUAGGUGUGAGCGGUAUUCCACGCCGUUCGUGCCGCAGCUAACGCAUUAAGCACCCCGCCUGGGGAGUACGGCCGCAAGGCUAAAACUCAAAGGAAUUGACGGGGGCCCGCACAAG